rnacentral:rRNA from 2 species
UAAUACCGAAUAGGACCACGCGCUUCAUGGUGUGUGGUGGAAAGCUUUUGCGGUGUGGGAUGGGCCCGCGGCCUAUCAGCUUGUUGGUGGGGUAAUGGCCUACCAAGGCGACGACGGGUAGCCGGCCUGAGAGGGUGACCGGCCACACUGGGACUGAGAUACGGCCCAGACUCCUACGGGAGGCAGCAGUGGGGAAUAUUGCACAAUGGGCGCAAGCCUGAUGCAGCGACGCCGCGUGAGGGAUGACGGCCUUCGGGUUGUAAACCUCUUUCAAUAGGGACGAAGCGCNAGUGACGGUACCUAUAGAAGAAGCACCGGCCAACUACGUGCCAGCAGCCGCGGUAAUACGUAGGGUGCGAGCGUUGUCCGGAAUUACUG